rnacentral:SRP_RNA from 1 species
GCUGGGCAUGGUGGCGUGUGCCUGUAGUCCCAGCUACGUGGGAGGCUGUGGUGGGAGGAUCACUUGAGCCCAGGAGGUCGAGGCUGCAUUGAGCUGAGAUCAUGCCACUGCACUCCAGCCUGGGUGACAGAGUGAGACCCCAUCUCAA